ensembl:lncRNA
GGAUUAUUUGCGUGGUGGUUGGGAAAGCGUGUGUGUGUGUUUUUUGGAGCGUAUGUGUAUUUGUGUGUAUGCUGCCAGUCGAGAUAAAGUGAGACAAAGGGAUUGCUUUAUGGGCAGCUCGUGUGCCUACCCAACAUCUUUAAUCCUUUUGUUCCAUGAACAGACAGGAGAAAAGUGCUAAAAUGCUAGAAAGUGCUUGUAAAGGGCUAAGGAAAAGUUCUGUAAAGUAGUUCUGAUUCCACGGCCACUUGGAUUGGAACUCUUUUUCAGCAAGCGAUGUUGCCGGGUGGUGGCCCAAGAGAAAAUUACCAGGGUAAGACGUCUGACCUAGGGACAGGGUAUUUUGCUCGGAGAAAAGCUGUUCUUUCACAAACAUAUAGACAAGCAAUUAGUCAUGGCAGCUUUGCCAUUUUCUGACAUGUUUAUUCAGAAGUCUUGGCUCCUGUGCAUAGCAAAGAGCUAUUUUGGAUGCUGAUGCUUACAGUGACGGUGAUAUUUGCACACAUCAUCAGGUCUCGCUUUGUUCCUUCUCAGCUAACCUUUUGUGUGCGAUCCUACUGGGGUUUAUUUAUUUAGGUUUCUGUUGAGGGGGAAAAGGCUCUGUCUUUAUCCCCUUUUUUUCAGGUCAGAGUAUUACAUAUUGAGGUUAUUCCAGCGAGUCGUCAGUAUGACGGAAACGUAGAAACGUGCUGUCUUGAUAAUGCCUUUCUCUGUAUCUUUUAACAUACCCAUUAUCCAGUCAUCCAUCAUUCCUCUCCCACCCCCUAAAUGAGGUGUAUGGGGUGCAUAAACAGUAGGACCCCCCCCCCCCCCCCCCCCCCCCCCCCCCAAAAAAAAAAAGCUGGGGUAAGGAGAGAUCCUUUCAGGUUUGGACAUUGGGACGGAAGUCAGACGUCCAGACUGUAUCAUUUUAGUUUUAAUAAAGACACACCGGUGGUUGCUAGACUGACAAUCUUUGUGCCACAUGCUGCUUUCAAAGUGAUUUAUGUCCAGGAAGGCUAUUAGAUUGCGUUCUGCUGUCCUGCUGCAUCCAUGCAACUGCUGGCUGCAAGACCCAAGGGAGUAGCACAGGAACAUGCUUCCCGUUCCUGGUCGAAAUGUUUGCAUUUUGCAGACGGUGGAUAAAAACACUGAGUUACAUUUGUCAGCGUUAAGGUUGUGCUAAUGUUCUUUUGUGUGUUAUCGGGCUUGCGGGUCUUGUGGAUGUGGAUAAAUAUAGAGAAUUACAGAAUGCACUAAUGUUGGGUUUAGUCAACGAUUGUGUUUGUAGUUUUCUGCCAACUUGACAACACGUGGCUAAACAGAAAAGCCAUUGUAAGCAUAAUGCAUGAGGCCAGCUCCUGUUUGAAGUGGGCUGAGCGCGGGUGGUGGCUCAGUGCAGGGAGAUAUGGGAGAACUGAGCCAGAGAAACUGAAAGGCCACUUGUCAAAGGACAGGGUUGAGACAAUGAGGCUCUUCGGGCUGGCACACUGGGAGCUAGGAAAAGGACAGAAAAAGUCAGGGUUGUGUUCGUUUAGUCCCACACAGACCCACUGCAGGAGACAGAGAGACGGAGGAAGAAAAAGAGAAAAGAGGAACAGCGAGAUGGAGGAAGAAAAGGAGAGGGAGACGGAGAGAUACAGAGAGAUGGAGGAAGGAAAGGAGAGGGAGAUGGACAUGGAGGAAGAAAAGGAGAGGGAGACGGAGAGAUACAGAGAGAUGGAGGAAGAAAAGGAGAGGGAGAUGGAGAGAGAUAGGGAUGGAGGAAGAAAAGGAGAGGGAGACAGAGAUAGAGAUGGAGGAAGAAAAGGAGAGGGAGAGAGAUACAGAGAGAUGGAGGAAGAAAAGGAGACUGGGAGAAAGAUGGAGACAGAGAGGGUGUGACAGAAGGGGAGAUUGAGAUGGAAACGGACAGCGAGGGAAAGGGAGGCAGAAAGAGAUAGAGGAAGAAAAGAGAGAGAGAGAGCAGUAUGAUGGGUUAGGGUCAACAUGUACUGCAAAGAUAUUUGACAUAGAUCCUGACUUUUUGCGUCCUGGUAAUUUAAGCAUGAAUGCAGAUCGUGGGAGUGUUUGUGAGUGUAAUCUGCAGCUAUUAAAAUGUGGCAGUGCUAAACCCUUUGAAGCUGCAGUGGAAAGCGUGUUUACGUGCAACACGACUGACACGGAAGAACACCGCAAGCUUCUACUGUGCUGAAAUGAGGCUGUAGCAUGAGAGGAAAAGCAGACCUAACUCGUUCUGAGCGGAAACGCGGAACGGAUGUGAACUUUCCAUCCUUUCCCACGGAGGAGAGGCGACUGGCCUGACCCGGCGCAGCAGGAACACAGGGACAAGAAAGGGACCCAAGAGGAAAUGGAAAACACAUAACCAAACACACGUACACAUGACACAUGUCCAGUAUCUGCACAUCUACUGUAGCUACUUCUGCAAACCAGCAUGCAUCUUAUGUGCAGUGUUCAGGGGUGAAACAUGGAGUAUACAUACUUCAUUAUUAUUGUUAAGUAUUAUUUUGGGGGUAAUUAUAUACUUUAAACACUUUAUAUAUUUAGAUGUUUACUUGAAUGUUACUGAAAUGGAAUGCUUUUACUCUUCAUCAUAAAGUGCCUUUUAUUACUUUUCCAAGUUACUUUUUGCACAUUAUAUUUUUAUUUAACCCCUUCAAUUUACUCUUAAAGUAUUUCAACAUCUUUCAACUAGUCAAUGACCGUAUGCAUCAAUAAAAUGGGCUCCAGUGGAUUUUAUUUACAGUAUAUAUCAAUUUCAAUCCAAUUCAUCGGUGUAUAUAAAGCCUAUUAAUAAUCAUACCAAUUCAGCAUCUGCUAUGAUCUCAAUUCCCUCAGUUAAAAUGAUGUCUUUUUUAAUACAUUUAAAAGCAGUAAUUUUUUGGCUUUCAUGUUUAGCUGGAUACAAGACUAGUUACAUUGCUACACUGUUUACUCUUAUUUCAGAUCGCAGUACUUCUACUUGCUACUAGUAAAUAGUUUGAGCUUGAUUCACUGUAUAGAGCACUAGAAGUGAAUAUAGCUGCUCUUCUGAGUUGCUGAAUGAUAUGCGACUUUCGAACAAUUCAUCUAUGAAGAUAACACCACACACUUCACUUGAAGAGACCCUUUGGGCUGGUGAAGCAUUGUUGUCUCCAGUAUGCUAUAAGAACUACGCUGAGUUUCUUGAUUAAUGUCCGUGAUGUCUGAAUUUUCUCAUAUUAGAUAGGAGAUAAUGUCCUAAUGGUUCAUGUGUCGGUUAUUGAGCUGGAGAGAUUGGGACUGAGACUAAUGACACCAAUAUGAAUCUUUCUGUUCCCCUCUGCAUUUUCAUUGGGGGCUGUUUGCUUCUAAUUGACUUGCAAUGAGCUCAAAGGAGCAGGAAGCUCACAGUUAAUGAGAGCAUCCAUUUUUAUUUGUAGUUCACUGGAAAUCAGUUUGGCCCUUGUUUGCAGCUUCGCCAUCCUCCUGAGUGUUCCAAUAAGAGGGAACCUGAUUUAUUGAUCUGAUAACCCUUUAGCCUACGGCGUGAAAUGAGGUUAGACCCCGUUAAGAACCUUGUGGUGAUUAUGAAAUUCAGGUUAUUGUUUAUUCAGAUUUUGUGGCUGUUUUUUUUUGUUGUGUUUUGUUUUGUUUUUGUUUUUCUACUGCCAUGACCAAAGCUACUUCAUUAUGGUGAUUUACUGUACGAGUAUGAUGCAGUGACAAUACUUUGUACUUUUAUCAUUCACAUCUUUUGACAAGAAUAGAAAAAUCUUCUUGCUCUCUACAGACAUGCCUAUGUGACUGAGGGAUGCUAAAUGAAAUGGCUUGGUGAAUGCUGGCAUCACAUUCUGAACUGAUUCGCAUGCAGCUAAAGAACAGAAAGGGCACAAAGCAGGAAACUUAAUUUAUUUACUGUAACUGAGGAAAUGUUCAAAUUAAUUUUUACAUACUACUCAGUUAUUGAUCCAGGCAGGAGUGAGUGAUUCAGUGAGCGAGUGAAUCAGUCUGUCAGUCAGUCACUGAAUCACUCACUCACUGACUCAUUGAUUCACUCACUGAAUCACUCACUGACUCAUUGAUUCACUCACUGAAUCACUCACUGACUCAUUGAUUCACUCACAGGAGAAUAUGGUUGAUCAAAAUUUCCAUACAGCAUUUGGUGCCACAUACACACUUUUCUGCCAAUCUUUGACCUUAACAUCAUUAGCUGUUUCCAUGGUGCCACGUAAACUCGGAGUUGUAUGUUGUUCUAUGACGAAUGACUUCAUCUCCAGGUUAAAUAUGAAGUUAUUAAAGUGUAUUUGUUGAGUGGGUAUGUUCUCUUUGGUCACCGAGGUUGGCAUCAGCCCAGGGCAUUAUGAUGCGGACAUGAAGUACUUUCUCAUUAGGAGGAAAAACAAGUAAUCCAGGUACUCUAAUUCAGAAAUGUCUUAAAAUGGUUUGCACUCAGAUAGCUGCUAUAAAACACAGUGCUCUACACUCAUAACAUGGCUAUUCAGUCCAUUUUAUUUCCAACUGAAACGCAGCAAUUAAUCUGAUUAUUAGUAUACCACUCCUGUCACUCGCUACACUAAUGGCCAGUAUGACAGCAAGGCCCUCUGCAUUAUUAAUAAUUCCAUUUGAAGAGCUGGGUGAUAUGCAGCCAGGCCGAGCCAGGGCCAUUGAUCAGAGCGCAGAAAACAUAAUGUCUACAGGGCAGAGAGAACCGGACAAGAAAUGAGACUCUCACAGUCACGCGCACAUUUUUACACAAUGCAUGGGUGAAAUAUAUUGUGCGAUUAAAAACUCAUGGUUGCACGCUUGAGUAAAGAAAGAGUGGUCCAUGAUUUUGACAAAAAUAAUGUACAUUGCAGUGCAGACAGAACAGUCUGAGAUCAGUUAAUGUGCCUAUUAAAAAGUUCUGUUUGUUUAUUAGAGCGCUCACUUGCAUCUAAUAGCCUUUUGCAAUAUCAAUAUAUCAGAUGAUGAUUAACAAAUGAUGUAUUGCAUGGCCCUAGUCCAAAUACACUCAGUCUAUGAAAAGUGAUAACAAGGAUGGAAGGAAGGAAAAAAAAAAGCAUGCAAGUGUGAGACAGAAAAAAAUGUAGAAGCGAUCUUUAAGGCAAUGAGGCACAUCUAAAUACUAGUAAGCUGCUCUGGGACUAUUAAAAGCAAAUGAGCAAGCAGGGGUCACAUGCCUCUUGUUAAAAUUCAUUUACUCUCAUGAUUUGUACCCCAACUUAAGUUACUUUCGGUUAAAUAAUAGCAUUUGUUACACCUUCAAGCAAAUCCUCUACAAUGUGAAAUCUAUCCAUUCGCCUUUGAAUUAAACCCAUAAAACAUCAUCUCUUCUACAGAGUCCCUGCGGUCUAACACAUACAUCACUUCCUGCUCUGUCACACUGGUUCGAAUCCAAACAAAGUUGUUCUGCCAAACGUUUGCUGUCCUCGCUAAGUCUCAAACAAGCUCAUCAUUCAAAGACAAACAGAGCCCUGUUCACUUGGACUGAGAUUAGUUUUCUGGAUAUUUGUGCUCACUCUUUGCCCUGAUCUGUGUGACUGGUGGCCAACAGAGCUGUAAACUAGAUGCAACUGACUAGCAUUUUAAAAAGGAUGGAUGGUAUGAUAAAAUGGUAUGAAUGCCAUGCUAAACUGCAUCCCUGUAUGCUUUUCUGAGAGUAUUGUGGAUAUUUAUAUUCCUUAAAGUGCCUUAUGUUUUGACACAAUUUUAACUGAAACAGGAAGUCAGGGCAGGACUUAUCAAGUGGCUCCUCCCCCUUUUUAAAUAGCCAACCUCACAGCCCGGGCUAUGCCAUACUUGACAGUUAGUACCAUGGGUUUUUAUAUUGUUGGGUGCGGGACACUUCAGACUCUCGAGAGCAUUUGCUUGGACAGAAAAUCUGAUGGGAAGCUGAAAUGCAGAAUCAAAAUUGUUGAUGCGUAUUUGUGGUAGAGAGAGACUGUACAUUUUAAAAGCAUAUAUUCUAAAUGCGGAUUUUGUCAUUGUUUUGGCGCACGUAAAGGCUAAUGUUCAUACUAAAAGCCACAAAACGUUUAACAACGCUCCAUUGUUACACAAAGUAGAUGUGUUGCAGUUUUUAUGUGUUUUGCUAAUGUGUGCUAGCACUGUAGCAAACCUAAAUACUGUGAUGCGUACUCUGUUGCAGGAACAAAAAAAUGUGAGCUUUUUAAUUUUUUCAUACGCAUCAUAUAGCAUCUCUAAUUUUAUACCCACUUUCUUCCCAGGUAGUUUUCCUCUUCACACACACACACACACACUGCUGAUUUAAACAGUUCUAACAGAGGUGCCAACUUGCCACAAAUGCUGAGUGCUGAUAACUCUUGCUAUAAUGUAGCAUAUUGUAGGAUAUCAAAAGAGAAAGUUAGUUGAAUAUGCUAGCAUGAGCACCCUCACUUUCUCAUGUUCAUUCUCUGUCAAUCUUAAC